AACGUAGGUGGCAAGCGUUGUCCGGAAUUACUGGGUGUAAAGGGAGCGCAGGCGGGAUGGCAAGUUGAAUGUGAAAACUAUGGGCUCAACCCAUAGAUUGCGUUCAAAACUGCUGUUCUUGAGUGAUGGAGAGGCAGGCGGAAUUCCCGGUGUAGCGGUGGAAUGCGUAGAUAUCGGGAGGAACACCAGUGGCGAAGGCGGCCUGCUGGACAUUAACUGACGCUGAGGCUCGAAAGUAUGGGGAGCAAACAGG
rnacentral:misc_RNA from 1 species